CUGUCGAGUAGUCCUGAUUUCCGUGUCCAACGUUUAACUGUCCGUCUUAUGUGAAUUUUUUUUUAUAAUUAGUAUUUUUAUUAUUGUUAGAUGAUAAAACAUAAUUAAUACUUUAUGUGUGACUUGUCUUUUUAAUUUUUUUUAUAAUUUUUUUAAAUAAGACGAACGGUCAAACGUUGGACACGAAAAUCUAGAGUUUGUCUUUUU
rfam:Oryza rufipogon genomic scaffold, chr10